GGGUACGUAGCUCAGUAGGUAGAGCAUCGGGCUUUUAACCUGAUGGCCGCAGGUUCAAAUCCUGCCGUACCUA
rnacentral:tRNA from 1 species